rnacentral:rRNA from 1 species
UACGUAGGGCGCAAGCGUUGUCCGGAAUUAUUGGGCGUAAAGAGCUCGUAGGCGGUUUGUCGCGUCUGCUGUGAAGCCCGGGGCUCAACCCCGGGUCUGCAGUGGGUACGGGCAGACUAGAGUGCAGUAGGGGAGACUGGAAUUCCUGGUGUAGCGGUGAAAUGCGCAGAUAUCAGGAGGAACACCGAUGGCGAAGGCAGGUCUCCGGUGGUCUGAUGGCUGACG